rnacentral:rRNA from 1 species
CAUGCCUACGGGAGGCAGCAGUGGGGGAUAUUGCACAAUGGGGGAAACCCUGAUGCAGCGACGCCGCGUGAGUGAAGAAGUAAUUCGUUACGUAAAGCUCUAUCAGCAGGGAAGAAAAUGACGGUACCUGACUAAGAAGCCCCGGCUAACUACGUGCCAGCAGCCGCGGUAAUACGUAGGGGGCAAGCGUUAUCCGGAAUUACUGGGUGUAAAGGGAGCGCAGACGGCAGUGCAAGUCUGGAGUGAAACGCAUGAGCUCAACUCAUGCAUGGCUUUGGAAACUGGAGGACUGGAGAGCAGGAGAG